CUUACGAAAAAAAUUGCAAAUUAAGCAAGUGAUGCUAAUUAGUGACUUAAGCUGACCAAUAUACAAGAAGAUUAUUCUUGGUGAUAAUGCUGAACGCCACCGACAUAAGGCAUUUGGACACUGCAAUUUUUAACGGAUCAUUUGGCAGCUAUUCAAAUAUUUCUCUUUUUAUAAAAGUUUUUUCAUUACUGAAUACAAAUACAUAAAAGUUUAGACUAAUUUUAA